rnacentral:rRNA from 1 species
UACGAAGGGGGCUAGCGUUGCUCGGAAUUACUGGGCGUAAAGGGCGCGUAGGCGGCACUGUUAGUCAGGCGUGAAAGUCCUGGGCUCAACCUGGGAACUGCGCUUGUUACUGGCAGGCUGGAGUGUGGCAGAGGGGGGUGGAAUUCCACGUGUAGCAGUGAAAUGCGUAGAGAUGUGGAGGAACACCGAUGGCGAAGGCAGCCCCCUGGGCUAACACUGACGCUCAUGCACGAAAGCGUGGGGAGCAAACAGG